UCUCCUGUAGCUCAGUGGUAGAGCGUCCGACCAGUGUGCGGAAGUUUAUAGGUUCGACUCCUGUUGGGGGAA
rnacentral:tRNA from 1 species